rnacentral:lncRNA from 1 species
AAAACCCCCUUUUUUUUCAUCAUAAAGAUUUGUUGUAAUUUUGAAUUGCAAGAGAUUCCAAGUGCCACACUGUAUAUGAUGACAUAAAGCAAAAAAAGGAUGAGGUGAGAGAUGGAAUAAAUUAGGCAGGCAAAAAGGAAAGAAAGAUCCAAGGAAACCAUCAUCAUAUUCAACAAAAAGGUAACUUUAUAAAUAUUCUACCAGUCAGUGCAUGACCCAGAGAGAAGGAGGUCGAGUCUACAGGAAGAAGGAAAGAUAAAAGAAAACCUGAUGGUGAACUCCCAGAGAGCAGGCACUGCUGUAGGAGAUUGUGAUUUCAUAGAAGACAGUGGGAUCUCCUGCGAACAGAAACUUGAAAACUUGUAUUGACUUGUGAGAGACUGGUGAAAGUCGAGUCUACUGAGAAAGAGUGGGCUGUUCAUAUUUGUUCAGAACAUGGUUCACAAGAAGCAGGGGGUGUUUAUCAGAUGUUUCAACUAGAAACCUCAUUACUGACUCGUCGGGUAGAAAUCCUCUCUCAAACAUCACAUCACUCGCCCUAUAAGCUUCGUGGAGUUUCUUUUCUUCACAUAAGAUAUAGAGCAGCAAGUUCCGUCUAUACAGGCCAGGCACAAGAUUGCAAGCAACCAUUUCUUCAAAUAUCCUGAAGGCAGGAAUGCUCAUGUGACCAGCACAAAAAUAAUGGUGUGAUUUUUCAUAAGCCAGCCUGUUUGGAAAGAAGCCCCUCUUGCUAAUUGUAUGCACAAGAGAUAAAGCAUCUAAUUCUCUACCAGACCUGCAAAGUGAUUUCAGUAAAGUGUUGUAUGUACAUCUGUCAGGGGUGCUGCAACCAUCUGCAUUCAUCCUAUUAAACAAUCCAAUAGCCCGAUCAAUUUCACCAGCCCUGCCAUGUGCACCAAUGAGAAUUGUGAAAGUCACUUCAUUUGGAAGUAGACCCUCCUCUUGCAUCAGUCUAAGUUGAUGGUAAGCAUCCUCUAUCAAAUUUACCCAGCAAAAUCCGGAGACAGUAACAUUAUAGAGGUAAAGGUUGGGCAUAAACCCUGUUCUUUUAUUUUCUGCAUGAGCUUCAAUGCUAAGUCUUCUAUUCCCUAAAAGAACAAGCAGAAACACUAAAAACAUCUUCUCCAGUCAAGGAAACUUUUUGAUGGAGCAAAUUAAAUAGCAGUUUUCUAGCCCUUGUAGACAUUCUGUUUGUCAUGUACCAUCUUUUCUUGGUGCCAAAGAUAUUUCUGCAAACACCACUAAUCCAAGCAAUGUGCAAGACAAGGUCAGCUUCGAUCUGACUUCUAAACAUCAAAUCAAUUAGUCUGAAGGCAUAUUUAAACUCUCCCAUCUUCAGAAAAUGAUUGAUAAGAAAGGUAUACAAGACAAUAUUUGGCACAAAACCCUCUGCCAACAUUUUUUCAAGAUAAACGCACCCCUCAAUAGUCAUUUUUCUCUUCACUAACCCGCUACCAGUGCAGUGUAAGAAUAAGAACUUGGCUGAAUGGCAUUCUUUAUCAUCAUCUCAAACAAAUGGAGGGCUUUAACACCUUUUCCAUUCCUAGCAUAAGCAUUGAUCAUUGUCAUAUAGGCAACUUCAUCAGGAUCCACACCAUUCUCAAGCAUCCUGCAGAAAAGAGUUUCGGCUUCAGAGAUUCUCCUCUGUUGGCUUAGACAAGCAAUAAUGCAGUCAUAGAUAGCUACACUAGGUUUCAGACCCAUUUCAUCCAUCUGCUCCAAAAUACCAAAAGCCAAUGCCAGAUCCUCUUGUUUACAGUAUUCAUUUACCAUUAUCAGAUAAGUUUCCAAGUUUGGAGAUAUGCCCCAGUUUUGCAUAAUUUCAAUCAGAGAUUUGACAUCCUCAGAAAGCCCGUCCUGGAAUAGACGUUUGAUCAGAGAGUUGAAAGUGAAAAGCAAAGGAACACAUCCCGCAUUUACCAUAUUUUCCAAGCAAUCCAAUGCAGAUUCUGUCUUUCCACCUUCACACAAGGCACUAACAUAGAUACCACCAGCCACAUUACCCAGAUUCAAAUCACUUCUUGCAAUUUCUCUCAGAAGUAGCUCAAUUUCUUGCUCCAAAGCCAGAGUGGAAUUUAUCUUAUCAGAAUUUGUGAGUGAAGAACAGUCCAACCCACACCCGUUCUUGGCGAUUGCCUGCAACAUCAACAAACAGAGUUGAAGCUCAAACCCAAGCCCCUUAGGUUUAUUCUUCAUGAGUACAAAAAACAAAACAUGGUCCGGAACAAUUCCACUUUCCAGCAUUCUUUCACACCAUUCAUCAACUUCCAAACACCUAUUCAGCUUAUAAAGAGUGACCAUUAUAGGCGUAUAACAAUGCACACAAGGAGUCAAAUUGCAGGGAGCCAUGCUAUUCAAAAGCGACAUAGCGCAAUCCAACUUCCCUUUCUUGCAAUAAUUAUGAAUCAUUAUACUAUAAGUGACCUCAUUAGGCUGAAUCCCCAGGUCAUUCAUCAGGUUGUACAACACCCACGCUUUAUCAAACAAACCCAUCUUUGAAAAUCCAUAAAUCAAAGUAUUACAAGUACAAAUAUCCGGGUCAUAACCAUUCUUCAGCAUUCUAAAAUAAACCCUCAGUGCCAUCUUCAUCUUCUUAUCCCUACCAUAAGCAUUCAUCAGCGAAGUAUACAUCACCUUAUCCACAAAGAAACCUUGUGCCUCCAUCUCUUCAAAAAUCCACUCUGCCUCGAUGGACCACCCUCUCUUGCAAAGCCCAUAAAACAAUGUCUUGAGCAUAUGAAGAGUAGGCGGCAACCCAGUUAUUCUGCACAUUAUAUCUAACACUUCUAUCGCUUCACCCACGUACCCUUGUUGACACAAUCCAUCAAUCAAAACAUUGUAAGCCCACAUACCCAAUUUCACAUUAGCAUCACUGAUCCUAACAAAAUAAUCAAAUGCCUCCACAAACUUAUCUUGCUCGUAAAACCCUUUAAGAAUCGUGCUACAAGCAGCAUUACUAACCAAACAAUCACCACUACCAAUAUGUCUAUCAAAAAGCUUUACGGCAUCAUCUAAUUUCCCUAACUUGGCCAAACAAAUAACGAGAGAAUUAACAAUAUUCGAGUCCGGCUCUAUACCUCUAGCAACCACAAGAUCAUGAUAAAACUCACGCGCCGAUAAAGGAUGGCCCAAGUCAACCAAUUUCCUAAUAAGUUCACCAGAAAUUCCAGGGCCAAGGUCCAUGCCACUCGCGGAGGCAAACUCAACGGCGGAGAUUGCAUCAUGGACUGUUGGAGAGCUGGCAAUGAAUCUCUGAACAACUUGCUGUGCAGAGGACAAAAGACCGCGGCGAAGAAGGUCAUGAACUAAGGAUUGGCAAAGGGACGUGUGGUCAUUUGGGAUUGGUUGGGGGUCUAAAGAGACAGCACAGGUUGAAGUGAUCGGUCCUUUUUUGGGUUUGAAGUAGAGAGCAUGACAAAAAGGUCUCCUUUUUAUCAUGUUCUGAUCAACUGGGGGACUGUAUUUUCAUGUCAAGAUUGAAAAUUUAUGGGAGGGAAUUGUGGGUUUUGCGCGAAAUGAAGUGGGCAUAUGAUGGUAGGGUUUUAGCCAGUUCAGAUAUGUAUGUGCCUGCCUGGGUCUAGGGUUUUAGGAGCUGAUGAUGAUGAUGAACAACUGUUACACUUGUUUGAAGUGAAUCGGGACCACAUAGUAGUGAGUAAGUUAUAACUUAGCCCCUGUAUUCUAUACGUUUUUUCAAAUUAGUAGUUUUAAAAUCGUAUGUUAAUAAUCCCUUCAUCUGAGUUAUUUAGGGGUUUUAUAUUAAGUUUUUUAAACUAAAAAGAUCAACUAAUUAUAGAAUUAAUACAAUUUACUAUUCCCAAUAUUCAAGGUAAUAAAGUUAUUGCUCUUAACACAAUUACAAGUUAAAAGGAUUAACUUAAAUUAAUUUAGGUUAAUAAAAUUAAUUUUUACCUGGUUUAAUUUAAAAUGUGGGUGAGCGGGAUUUAAUAACUCUAGCAAGAACAUGACUUGUUUUUUAAAUUUAAACUAUAAGAAAAUUAGGAGCCAUUGGAUAAUGAUAACGAUCCAGUGGUAGCAGUACCACGAGACCCAUCAAGAUUUUUUUUUUUUUCAAAAUUAAUUAAUCAGACAUCAGAAGUAUGCUAGACCUUCCAAUGCACAAAGCAUUCCCAUUUACUGUAGUAAUUCCAGGGAAACAUUUCCUGCUAACCUUCGUCAACUCUGGUAGAGGCAAAACAUCACAAGACAGACGUUUCCUGCCUAACCUUUUUCAAGUCUGUUUAGAAGCAAGAUAUCACAAGACACACAUUUCCUGUUACCUUUGUCAACUCUGCUUCCUGACAUUGGAAAUGCACCAAUAUUUAUACCAGGAAGCAUAACUGAUUAUCUAAAGAGUUUCUUGUCCCUCUAGGGAUUUCUGAUAUUACAAAUUAUCUUAAGUUCUUGCAACACAUCUGCAGCAAAAUGAUGAUGAUGAUGAUUUGAUAAACAGCCCACCUCUCAUGUUCAACUUUCCAGCAAAGAUUAGAAAUUCCAUUUCCCUAAUUACACUUCUAGUAAGAGGAUCACCACCUGCCUUGAUUACAUGAUUAUUUACUUGGAAACAAAUGAGCCAGAUCAGGAUCAUCCAAGUUCACAUCCAACCAACCAUGUGAUCGCAUGUAUUCAACAUAAUGAUCUGGUGGCGUCACUGCACGGCAAUUUCUUGGAGUAAAGCCAUGAAUCCUCUCAAGAUCACGAGCAAGCCACCGAACAUAAGCAUGGUCCAUUGGUGGCACGAUUUUUAAGAGAAACUCUGGCCUGUUUGGUGCCAAUGGAGACACAGCUUCUCUUUCUUGCUUAACAGGUUUGUUUCCCAUGCUUGACCAGCUUCAGAAAGGGGACAAGAUAGUAUGCAGCUGCAGUAAAUCAUAGAAGAAAUGAAGACAUAGAAUUGAAGGAAUAGAUAUCAUAAAUUUUAUCUCGAGUUUGGGAUGUGUAAUUUUGUUGCAUCCACAAAGUCUCACAUAAUUUUAACAAUGCAGAAAGUCUUGGUUGAUCAAGAUUUAGCAAUUUACUUAAAAUUAAUUUUAUGAGAAAGUUCUUGGACAACUUGUGCCUGAGAAAGUUGGAGUUAGUACAGAUAUUGUGCAGAAAGAUCCAUCCCAAUCAAAGAUAAACAUUGAAAGCACUGCCACUGCUGCAUGCCAUGCUAAAAUCAAAAGAAAUCCUAAACCAAAUACAGAGACACUCAACAUCUUGAUGGCUGAGAGGAAGCCACAAAUUUAUGUUAAUGUCAAUCGCUAUGCACUGGGAAAUGUUUUGUAACCAAUGAUCACCAAUUCAAAAUUCCAUGGAAUAAAAGAGUUGAGGAUAAGAAUUAAACUUGAAAUAUAGUCCACAGACAGGAGGAGAAAGUAAACCGGAAGGGAUUGGUGAUACCCACUAGUAAAACAUAACUAAGCAUCUUUGGUGGUAUUCAAAGCUACAAAAAUGUUACUGACAAUACCAGGAAUAGCAAACCAGAUUCACCAACAAGCUUGAAAUAUGAAAAAGAGUUUAUCUUAUUUGACAUGGUUCAUGCCACAAUAGUGUCCCACAACAGUGUCACAAGGCUAUGCAGCCUGCUUAAGAAUGGAUUCCAUUCUCAGCCUGCGCCGUCUAGAUUCUUGGACAGUUUUUAUUUCUUAACAAGACAUGAUAUCUGCCAUGUCCUUGUUUACAAGUAGGAAACCAUCUAUUGAAAAAAGGCAAUUGAGUACCUAAAGUUUCAAAAUCAAGUAUCAAGCCAUACACAAACUGUACAUGGCUCAAAUUCCCUUUGCCUAAAACAUGCAAGAAUGAAGGGAAAAGAAUUUUAAACUAUAGUUAAAUGGUUGUGAUUUAUUUGAAGCCCCAGAUAGAGUUCAUUAAAUGACAAUUUGUGAAAAUGAGAACUGGGUGCGGCACAACAAAAUUCCACAGCAGAUAUUCAGGGCUAGGAAAAUUGUUAAGGCCAGUCGUGUAAAAAAUGACAGUUUUCUACCAGUCAGGAUCAAUUUUCAAUUUGGAAACAUAGGAAAAGCUAAUAAGAAAGAAUAUCUCAUCUAUACACCAUAUUCUAGUCUAAUCUAAAAAUUAGCCCAAAUGUUGCAUGGAGAAAAUAUUUAAGAUGAAGCACAGUAAAAAUGGAAUUUAAAUUGAUGAGAGUUGAUUUGAACCAAACAAAACACAUUAGAGAUUGACCAUUGUCUUCUUGAACCAACACAAUAGUCUUUGACGUUUUAUAAUGUGGUGAAAAUUUAGGUCCUUUGUACUCUAUUCUUUUUUUCCCUCUAUUUAUACCUUACAGGUUCAAUUUUGUUGAUUUUAUAAAUAUAGAAGCCAAAAUUUAUUCCCACUAAGUCUAAAACAUUAUGUAUAUACAAAUAUCAUUCAAAAACAAACACUAGAUUAGGCUCUUACCUAUUUCCUUGUAUAUAUGAAGACAACUAAUAAGUUUUUAAGGCAUCAAUCCAACAAGAUUCAAAUUUAUUUCAAGUUCAUGCAUGCAACCCAAAUUUAUAAUUGUCCACACCUGUGCCAAAUUUAAAUUUCCCGCAUUAGGUAAGUAGAUAUUUUGUCUCCAUUCAGGCAACCAAAAAAAACUGAAAAAAUCUAUAUUGCUAAAUUUGACACAGGUGGACAAAUAUAAAUUGAGGUUGCAUGCAUGAACUUGAAAUACGCUCUAGCAUUGUAACAUCAGAUAAGUGAGAGUUUAAAUAAUAGAAUCAAAGAUGAUGAAGCCAAUUGUGUUUCUCUUGAUUUCUUGUGUUACACUAUUUAGUCUCUUCACUCGCGCUCAAGGUAGAUAUUUUUUCAAAUCUAUCAACAAAGUCUCAUUUACAUAUGACUAACAAAAUAAAAUCAAAUAUCAUUGAGUAUUGAAUAAUUAAUUUUUAUUUGCAAAAAUAAUGAAUAUGUGCCUUUCUUUCUUUCAAAAUGCAGGUCAACUACGAUGGUGCCCUAAGCAAGUCACAUUUCC